rnacentral:rRNA from 1 species
UACGGGGGGAGCAAGCGUUGUUCGGAUUUACUGGGCGUAAAGGGCGCGUAGGCGGCGCAACAAGUCACUUGUGAAAUCUCCGGGCUUAACCCGGAGCGGCCAACUGAUACUGCGGGGCUAGAGUGCAGAAGGGGCAACUGGAAUUCUCGGUGUAGCGGUGAAAUGCGUAGAUAUCGAGAGGAACACCUGCGGCGAAGGCGGGUUGCUGGGCUGACACUGACGCUGAGGCGCGAAAGCUAGGGGAGCGAACGGG